GCAGUGGGGAGCUUGGCAGGGCCUGGCCGUCCACUCCCCCAAGCCUAAGUGAGAGCCCUUGCUCUGCCCCCCGCCACCUGGAGUUCCCAGCUGGACAUGCUGCCCUGCAGGCGGCCUGAAGGCCCACUCGGAGCCACAGGGCCCAGUGCCUCCCCUGGGCUCCGUGUUGGAGGACUCGCCCUGUGCGUCUGACCAGAGCUUCGUUCUUGCUCAUGUCCUGGGCAGAGCCACCUGGCACAGAGAGCACUCAUCUAAUGAGCACCCUACGUGCCUGUCCCUCAGGCUGGACCUCCUCCAGCAGGACCCGUCUGAGGUGGGUGGCCCCUCAGAACAUCCUCUCUGUCCCCUCGGGUCUGCUGAGCUGUCCGUCACACGGCCAUCGACGGCGCAGACACACCAGCCAGGGACUGUGGAGGGAGGAGAGGAGACAGACUCCCUGAUGUCGUCCUCUCCCCUGUGUCCUGUGUCCUGUGUCCUUCCCAGCAAUGUGGGUUCCUGGGACCCUCACCCUGGGAGACUCCCGUCCCCUUCUCCAACACCAGUGGUGGUCUUAGCGCUGUUGUGAGUCCCCUGGGGCUUAUUCAGCUGCCCCCUGGGCUGCUUUAAAGGCACAUUAACGUUCAAACCCUCUCCAGUCCUGGUAAAUAGGAUCCGGGCCAAACACCAAGCCCUGUCCUUGAUGGGCCCUUUCCCCACCCCCACCCCAGUCCUGCGGGUCCAGUCCACCCACUUCUCUC
rnacentral:lncRNA from 1 species